rnacentral:rRNA from 1 species
CCUACGGGUGGCAGCAGUAGGGAAUAUUGCUCAAUGGGCGAAAGCCUGAAGCAGCAACGCCGCGUGAAGGAUGAAUGCUUUCGGGUUUGAAACUCUGUUUGUUCGGGGCGAAAAUGACGGUAUCUAAAGCAUAAGCACCGGCUACAUCCGUGCCAGCAGCCGCGGUAAUACGGAGGGUGCAAGCGUUACUCGGAAUUAAUGGGCGUAAAGAGCGCGUAGGCGGGAUAGAAAGUCAGGUGUUAAAUUCGCAGGCUUAACCCUAGAACGGCAGUUGAAACUGGCAUUCUGGAGUAUGGGAGAGGUAGGUGGAAUGCGUGGUGUAGCGGUGAAAUGCGUAGAGAUCACGAGGAACACCGAUUGCGAAGGCGACAUGCUAGAGCAUAACUGACGCUGAUGCACGAAAGCGUGGGUAGCAAACAGGAUUAGAUACCCCAGUAGUC